rnacentral:rRNA from 1 species
UCGAGAAUCUUCCGCAAUGGGCGAAAGCCUGACGGAGCGACGCCGCGUGACUGACGAAGUCCUUCGGGACGUAAAAGUCUUUUAUGAGGGAGAAAGACAUAUCUUUCGAGGUGUGUUUGAUGGUACCUCAUGAAUAAGGGGCUCCUAACUCUGUGCCAGCAGGAGCGGUAAUACAGAGGCCCCGAGCGUUAUCCGGAAUCAUUGGGCGUAAAGGGUGCGUAGGCGGUUGUGUUAGUCUUUUGUCAAAGCCUUCGGCUCAACCGGGGACAGGCAAAAGAAACGGCACUACUUGAGGAUGUGAGAGGUGUGCGGAACUCAUAGUGUAGGGGUGAAAUCCGUUGAUAUUAUGGGGAACACCAAAUGCGAAGGCAGCACACUGGCACAUUCCUGACGCUGAGGCACGAAAGCGUGGGUAGCGAACGGGAUUAGAUACCCCCGUAGUCC